UACGGAGGGUGCAAGCGUUAAUCGGAAUUACUGGGCGUAAAGCGCACGCAGGUGGCUGAGUCAGUCGAUUGUGAAAGCCCUGGGCUUAACCUGGGAAUUGCAGUCGAUACUACUCGGCUCGAGUAUGGGAGAGGGCAGUGGAAUUCCCGGUGUAGCGGUGAAAUGCGUAGAUAUCGGGAGGAACAUCAGUGGCGAAGGCGGCUGCCUGGCCCAAUACUGACACUCAUGCACGAAAGCGUGGGGAGCAAACAGG
rnacentral:rRNA from 1 species